GACGAACGCUGGCGGCGUGCCUAAUACAUGCAAGUCGAACGCACAGUUUAUACCGUAGCUUGCUACACCAUAGACUGUGAGUUGCGAACGGGUGAGUAACGCGUAGGUAACCUGCCUGGUAGCGGGGGAUAACUAUUGGAAACGAUAGCUAAUACCGCAUAAUAUUGAUUAUUGCAUGAUAAUUGAUUGAAAGAUGCUAUUGCAUCACUACCAGAUGGACCUGCGUUGUAUUAGCUAGUAGGUGAGGUAACGGCUCACCUAGGCGACGAUACAUAGCCGACCUGAGAGGGUGAUCGGCCACACUGGGACUGAGACACGGCCCAGACUCCUACGGGAGGCAGCAGUAGGGAAUCUUCGGCAAUGGACGAAAGUCUGACCGAGCAACGCCGCGUGAGUGAAGAAGGUUUUCGGAUCGUAAAGCUCUGUUGUAAGAGAAGAACGGGUGUGAGAGUGGAAAGUUCACACUGUGACGGUAUCUUACCAGAAAGGGACGGCUAACUACGU
rnacentral:rRNA from 1 species